rnacentral:rRNA from 1 species
AUUGAACGCUGGCGGCAUGCCUUACACAUGCAAGUCGAACGGCAGCACGGGAGCAAUCCUGGUGGCGAGUGGCGAACGGGUGAGUAAUGUAUCGGAACGUACCUUUCAGUGGGGAUAACGUAGCGAAAGUUACGCUAAUACCGCAUAUUCUGUGAGCAGGAAAGCAGGGGAUCGCAAGACCUUGCGCUGAUUGAGCGGCCGAUAUCAGAUUAGCUAGUUGGUGAGGUAAAGGCUCACCAAGGCGACGAUCUGUAGCGGGUCUGAGAGGAUGAUCCGCCACACUGGAACUGAGACACGGUCCAGACUCCUACGGGAGGCAGCAGUGGGGAAUUUUGGACAAUGGGCGCAAGCCUGAUCCAGCCAUGCCGCGUGAGUGAAGAAGGCCUUCGGGUUGUAAAGCUCUUUCAGCCGGGAAGAAAACGCAUGGGUUAAUACCCUGUGUGGAUGACGGUACCGGAAUAAGAAGCACCGGCUAACUACGUG